AAUGAACGUUGGCGGCGUGGAUUAGGCAUGCAAGUCGAGCGCGAACCCCGCAAGGGGUGAAAGCGGCGAAAGGGAGAGUAACGCGUGGGUAUCUGCCCUCGGGACUGGGAUAGCUGCGGGAAACUGCAGGUAAUACCAGAUGACGUCCCCGGACCAAAGGUGUGAUUCCGCCUGAGGAUGAGCCCGCGUCCUAUUAGCUAGUUGGUAGGGUAAUGGCCUACCAAGGCAAUGAUGGGUACUGGGUGUGAGAGCACGACCCAGCUCACUGGGACUGGGACACUGCCCAGACACCUACGGGUGGCUGCAGUCGAGAAUCUGCGGCAAUGGGCGAAAGCCUGACCGAGCGACGCCGCGUGUGGGAUGAAGGCCUUCGGGUUGUAAACCGCUGUCAGAGGGGAGGAAUGGGCGGAGGGUAAUCUCUUCGUUUUGACCUAUCCUCAGAGGAAGUACGGGCUAAGUUCGUGCCAGCCGCCGCGGUAA
rnacentral:rRNA from 1 species